GGCCGUUUUUGUUUCGCGAACGUUCUGCGAGGAGAGUUCGGCGACUUGCGUGACUUACGAACAGAACUGCCUAAUUGUACCUACAAUUGAGUAAAUUGUUUUAGAGGAGGGGAUGCCCAGCUUCAGCAGCUUCAAUGUGCGAGGAACACUCCAGCCCCCUCAACAAAGCUGGAGUGCCGCUUGUGCCUGGACA